rfam:Xiphophorus maculatus strain JP 163 A Contig303.15, whole genome shotgun sequence.
ACACUCAAGACUCUUGAGUGCGAGUCUAUUUGCUGUGAUUGCAUGUCGUUUUGCUGCUGUUGCACAGAACUGUUCCCACUGUAGGGCAAUAAAAUACUGUAUAUUUCUAUUCUAUGUUUGACUUUUAAGUCAAUUGAAUGGACACAGCACUACACUCUUUUUUUUUACCCCCGUAAUACUGUAUGAGUAGUCACAGGACCACAGCUUGAAGCAAAUAAAAUGUUUGAUUUGAAAAAGAGUGUCCGUCCCCACCUCCCUGCCGAAAAAAAAUGGAAUGCCCCUAUAAUUUGAUUCUGCAGUUCUGGUAUGCAAAGCACUGCCACAGGAGGGCUCCAGUGGGCUUUGAAAGCUGGCCUCCCGGCCCAGACAGGGUGUUUGUGGUGGUUUGCUCAGCAAGAGCGAGACGUCCAGUCUGUCCUAUUGGUCCUCCAACGGUGUUCCAACCAUAAACGAUGCCAGCUAGCGAUCCUGCGGCGUGCCCAUGUCCCGCCAGGCAGCGUCUGGGAGACCAAAGUCUUUAUGUCCCCCGGGUGAGUAUGGUUGCAAAACUGAAACUUAAUAGGAAUUGAUGGAAGACCACCACCAGGAGUGAAGCCUACAACUUAAUACGCAAAACCUCACCUGGCCCAGACAUGGAACAGAUUGACACACUGAGUGGGUUGGUGUGUGUCUACCCUUUGCUGAGAGGUCUGGGUAACCCACUGACCCCCACUUGUGACAGGGAUUGCAAUUAUUUCCCAUGAACAGGGAUGGGAUGUUACUGUACUUAAGUUUUCAUGUGUCCUACUCUAAGUACAUUUAAUUGUGGGUACGUUUGACUUUUACUGCAUUACAAUAACUA